rnacentral:rRNA from 6 species
CGAUACUAGCUUGCUAGUAGGCGUCGAGUGGCGGACGGGUGAGUAACGCGUAGGAAUCUGCCUGAUAGUGGGGGAUAGCCCGAAGAAAUUCGGAUUAAUACCGCAUAAUCUAUUCGUAGUAAAGUGGGGGACUUUCGAGCCUCACGCUAUCAGAUGAGCCUGCGUAAGAUUAGCUUGUUGGUAGGGUAAAAGCCUACCAAGGCGACGAUCUUUAGCUGGUCUGAGAGGAUGAUCAGCCACAUCGGGACUGAGACACGGCCCGAACUCCUACGGGAGGCAGCAGUGGGGAAUAUUGGACAAUGGGGGCAACCCUGAUCCAGCAAUACCGCGUGUGUGAAGAAGGCCUGAGGGUUGUAAAGCACUUUCAAUUGUGAAGAAAAGUUAGCGGUUAAUAACCGUUAGCCUUGACGUUAACUUUAGAAGAAGCACCGGCUAACUCCGUGCCAGCAGCCGCGGUAAUACGGAGGGUGCAAGCGUUAAUCGGAAUUACUGGGCGUAAAGCGUGCGUAGGCGGUUUAUUAAGUCAGAUGUGAAAGCCCCGGGCUUAACCUGGGAACUGCAUUUGAAACUGGUCAACUAGAGUAUGGUAGAGGAAAGUGGAAUUUCUGGUGUAGCGGUGAAAUGCGUAGAUAUCAGAAGGAACAUCAAUGGCGAAGGCAGCUUUCUGGACCAAUACUGACGCUGAGGUACGAAAGCGUGGGUAGCAAACAGGAUUAGAUACCCUGGUAGUCCACGCCGUAAACGAUGAUAACUAGCCGUUGGGGGGAUUUACCCUUUAGUGGCGAAGCUAACGCG